rnacentral:rRNA from 1 species
AUUGAACGCUGGCGGCAUGCCUUACACAUGCAAGUCGAACGGCAGCACGGGUGCUUGCACCUGGUGGCGAGUGGCGAACGGGUGAGUAAUACAUCGGAACAUGUCCUGUAGUGGGGGAUAGCCCGGCGAAAGCCGGAUUAAUACCGCAUACGAUCUACGGAUGAAAGCGGGGGACCUUCGGGCCUCGCGCUAUAGGGUUGGCCGAUGGCGGAUUAGCUAGUUGGUGGGGUAAAGGCCUACCAAGGCGAGGAUCAGUAGCUGGUCUGAGAGGGCGACCAGCCACACUGGGACUGAGACACGGCCCAGACUCCUACGGGAGGCAGCAGUGGGGAAUGUUGGACAAUGGGCGAAAGCCUGAUCCAGCAAUGCCGCGUGUGUGAAGAAGGCCUUCGGGUUGUAAAGCACUUUUGUCCGGAAAGAAAUCCUUGGCCCUAAUACGGUCGGGGGAUGACGGUACCGGAAGAAUAAGCACCGGCUAACUACGUG